rnacentral:tRNA from 1 species
ACCUGGCUGGCUCAGUUGGUGGAGCAUCAGACUCUUGAUCUCAGGGUGGUGAGUUCACGCCCCAUGCUGGGUG